GUUAACUUGAGAUUGCAUUGAGAACUCAAUAAAAUAAAGUUUUAAACAAUCAUGAAGUGGUUUGUUCUCAUUUUUUUGCUUGUUGUGUGCUUUAUUGGCACGGGGGAAGCAAUUCUAGGUGGAGAUAAAACGAAAAUUAACGAGUAUCCUUGGCUGGCUUUGAUCGAAUAUAAUGAAACCUAUGGUAGUGCAUUUUAUUGCCUGGGUGCCCUUAUCGAUAGAGACUACGUUUUAACAGCGUCUCACUGUGUUAGUGGAAAGCAUUUAAGCCAACGGGGAUGGACACUUACAGGUUUGAAUUUAUCUUUUUAUAAAAACGUAAAAAACAGCAUAAAUAAUA